rnacentral:rRNA from 1 species
CUAAGAAUCUUGCGCAAUGGGCGAAAGCCUGACGCAGCAAUUCCGCGUGGGGGACGAAGGCCCUCGGGUCGUAAACCCCUUUUGGGAGGGAAGAAGUUCUGACGGUACCUCACGAUUAAGACACGGCUAACUACGUGCCAGCAGCCGCGGUAAUACGUAGGUGUCGAGCGUUGUCCGGAUUUAUUGGGCGUAAAGAGCCCGCAGGCGGCUUGGUAAGUUCGAGGUGAAAUCUCCCGGCUCAACUGGGAGGGUGCCUCGAAAACUAUCAGGCUUGAGGCAGGGAGAGGGAUGUGGAAUUCCCGGUGUAGUGGUGAAAUGCGUAGAUAUCGGGAGGAACACCUGUGGCGAAGGCGGCAUCCUGGCCCUGUCCUGACGCUCAGGGGCGAAAGCGUGGGGAGCAAACC